rnacentral:rRNA from 1 species
GAUCCUGGCUCAGAUUGAACGCUGGCGGCAUGCCUUACACAUGCAAGUCGAACGGUAACAGGUCUUCGGAUGCUGACGAGUGGCGAACGGGUGAGUAAUACAUCGGAACGUGCCCGAUCGUGGGGGAUAACGAGGCGAAAGCUUUGCUAAUACCGCAUACGAUCUACGGAUGAAAGCGGGGGAUCUUCGGACCUCGCGCGGACGGAGCGGCCGAUGGCAGAUUAGGUAGUUGGUGGGAUAAAAGCUU